CGUAGGUGUCUGCUUAACACAUGCAAGUCGAACGAACUCUUCGGAGUGAGUGGCGGACGGGUGAGUAACGCGUGAGAAUCUGCCUGUGGGUCGGGGACAACCACUGGAAACGGUGGCUAAUACCGGAUGAGCCGAAAGGUAAAAAAUUUAUUGCCCACAGAUGAGCUUCCCGUCUGAUUAGCUAGUUGGUAAGGUAAAAGCGUACCAAGGCAAAAAUCAGUAGCUUGGCUGAAAGGAUGAACACCCCCCCUGGGGGUGAUACACACGCCCCACUCAUACGGAAGGCAACGCUGUUGUGUUUUAUUUUCCGCAAUGGGCGAAAGCCUGACGGAGCAAGACCGCGUGGGGGAGGAAGGUUUUUGGAUCGUAUACCCCUUUUGUCAAGGAAGAUGUUCUGACGGUACUUGACGAAUAAGCCUCGGCUAACUCCGUGCCAGCAGCCGCGGUAAUACGGAGGAGGCAAGCGUUAUCCGGAAUGAUUGGGCCUAAAGCGUCUGUAGUUGGCCAGCUAAUUCUGCUGUUAAAGAUCACAGCUCACUGGUGGGAAAGCAGUGGAAACUUGUCCAGCUAAGGCUGUUAGGGGUAAAAGGGAUUUCCCGUUGUACCGUGAAAUGCUUAGAUUCGGUAAAACCCCGGGGCGAAACCCCUUUCUGGGCCAAACCUAACUUGAAGCCAAUAGCUAGGGAGCGAAAAGGAUAUAUACCCCGUGUCUCAGUGGAACAUGGGGACACAUGUGCACGUAUCCCCCCCGUGUAUACAGACCAGCGUAGCCCCACUCGGAGAUCCGCCCUAUGUAAUCCAACAUUGUGCGG
rnacentral:rRNA from 1 species